AUAAAUUAGAAAGAAAUACUAGUUCGGGGAUCAGAAUUCCGACUUGAGGAGCUUUGGUCGAGGCUUAAUUUUGAUGCUCUCAAAAGGGACCUCUUGUUCAACAUGUAUGUAAUCCCUAGUCUUUAGGACCAAAGUCUCAAAGAACAUUCUGGAUGCCUCUUUGCGUGUUUUACCAGCCAAGAGAUGGUCCACAGGUACAAUUUUCUUUCCACGCCCAUGUUCUGCAUCGAACAAAGUCUUCAAGAAUCUUG
rnacentral:misc_RNA from 1 species